UGUGUCAUUAUUUACCCUUUUGGUUUCUUACAGGAGAGAGUUUUCAGAGCUUUUGGAGAAGUAUGGAUCCAGCAGUAGUACUGGGUCAACACGCAACUCUCCCAUCCAGCAUGCAGGCAGAUAUCUGGACAGCACAUCGUCCGGGUCUUCGUCACGCUCCCAGAGUCCUUUGCUUUUGAGUCCUGCUGGCUCUCAGAGCACCUACAACAACCCUCUACUGCGCUCCCUCAGUCACCCAGGAGAGGGUGUGAUCCAGCUGAUCUCUGUAGCCCGCUCCUCUAGUCUGGGCAUCGCCAUCGGCGGAGGCUCCAAUAGGCCGG